rnacentral:snRNA from 1 species
AUACUUACCUGCCACAGGAACUUCCUUGAACAAGAAGAAGGAAGCCCCUGGCGGAGGCCCUGUCAUUGCACUCCGACAGCGCUAAAGCCAGCGAAAGGUUCACAUAGAACCUUCUCGAGUGGAUCAUUUUUCCCAACGGAUCGAGCGUUCGCGCUUGAUCCU